AAUGCCGUUGUGACAUCUAAAUGACAAACUUCAAAAUUAAGCUUCACAGACAAAGCCAACAACAAUCUUAGAGUUGAGUGUCUGACAAUUGGAGAAAAAGUUUCUUCAAAAUCAAUUCCAUACCUUUGAGUAUAUCCUUUGGCCACCAACCUGGAUCUAUAUAUCACAUUUUUGUCAGCAUCAUGCUUCCUUUUAAAUACCCACUUACACUCUACUACACUACCAUUUUCUGGAGCAUUCACCAAAUCCCAUGCUUUGUUCUCAGUAAAAGAAUCUAGCUCUUUCUGUGUCGCCUCCAACCAACAAAAACGCUCAGGUCUGGAUACCGCUUCCUCGAACGUCACAGGAUCAUCUAAAUCUGGAUUCUCACCUAUCAGGUGUGUCUUCCCCUCUCACUGGUAAAUUGACUUCAUCAGAACCACCAUAAUAAAAAUAUUACAACUUGUAACAAAUGUCAAUAGAGUGCCCAGCCCUAGCACUAUGGUAGUAGCCACUACAAGACGGACCAAUAAGCGCUUCCAGGAACUUACGUGGUGUGAAAAGGAAGACAUGACUGGUUUUAGUUUUAAGGGUUAGUCGGUAAUUUUUCUCCAACACGAAUUCACGAAUCUUUAAUUAAUUUAAGCCAUAGACUAAGGUAAAAACUGUACCAGACGA